CAAGGCUUGACAUGGCCUCAAAAGCCGCAGAGAUGCGGUGUCCGCAAGGGGGGGUCACAGGUGGUGCAUGGCUGUCGUCAGCUCGUGUCGUGAGAUGUUGGGUUAAGUCCCGCAACGAGCGCAACCCUCGUCCUAUGUUGCCAGCGGGUAAUGCCGGGGACUCAUGGGAGACUGCCGGGGUCAACUCGGAGGAAGGUGGGGAUGACGUCAAGUCAUCAUGCCCCUUAUGUCUUGGGCUGCAAACAUGCUACAAUGGCCGGUACAAAGGGCUGCGAUGCCGUGAGGCGGAGCGAAUCCCGGAAAGCCGGUCUCAGUUCGGAUCGGGGUCUGCAACUCGACCCCGUGAAGUCGGAGUCGCUAGUAAUCGCGAAUCAGCAAUGUCGCGGUGAACACGUUCCC
rnacentral:rRNA from 1 species